UACAGAGGAUGCAAGCGUUAUCCGGAAUGAUUGGGCGUAAAGCGUCUGUAGGUGGCUUUUUUAAGUCCGCCGUCAAAUCCCAGGGCUCAACUCUGGACAGGCGGUGGAAACUACCAAGCUGGAGUACGGUAGGGGCAGAGGGAAUUUCCGGUGGAGCGGUGAAAUGCGCAGAUAUCAGGAGGAACACCGAUUGCGAAGGCAGCUCGCUGGAACGUUACUGACGCUGAGACGCGAAAGCGUGGGGAGCAAACAGG
rnacentral:rRNA from 1 species